rnacentral:rRNA from 1 species
GCUGGCGGCAGGCCUAACACAUGCAAGUCGAGCGGAAACGAUGGAGCUUGCUCCAGGCGUCGAGCGGCGGACGGGUGAGUAAUGCAUAGGAAUCUGCCCGGUAGUGGGGGAUAACCUGGGGAAACCCAGGCUAAUACCGCAUACGUCCUACGGGAGAAAGCAGGGGAUCUUCGGACCUUGCGCUAUCGGAUGAGCCUAUGUCGGAUUAGCUUGUUGGUGAGGUAAUGGCUCACCAAGGCGACGAUCCGUAGCUGGUCUGAGAGGAUGAUCAGCCACAUCGGGACUGAGACACGGCCCGAACUCCUACGGGAGGCAGCAGUGGGGAAUAUUGGACAAUGGGCGAAAGCCUGAUCCAGCCAUGCCGCGUGUGUGAAGAAGGCUUUCGGGUUGUAAAGCACUUUCAGUGAGGAAGAAGGCCUUGGGGCUAAUACCCCCGAGGAAGGACAUCACUCACAGAAGAAGCACCGGCUAACUCCGUGCCAGCAGCCGCGGUAAUACGGAGGGUGCGAGCGUUAAUCGGAAUUACUGGGCGUAAAGCGCGCGUAGGCGGCGUGAUAAGCCGGUUGUGAAAGCCCCGGGCUCAACCUGGGAACGGCAUCCGGAACUGUCAGGCUAGAGUGCAGGAGAGGAAGGUAGAAUUCCCGGUGUAGCGGUGAAAUGCGUAGAGAUCGGGAGGAAUACCAGUGGCGAAGGCGGCCUUCUGGACUGACACUGACGCUGAGGUGCGAAAGCGUGGGUAGCAAACAGGAUUAGAUACCCUGGUAGUCCACGCCGUAAACGAUGUCGACUAGCCGUUGGGGUCCUUGAGACCUUUGUGGCGCAGUUAACGCGAUAAGUCGACCGCCUGGGGAGUACGGCCGCAAGGUUAAAACUCAAAUGAAUUGACGGGGGCCCGCACAAGCGGUGGAGCAUGUGGUUUAAUUCGAUGCAACGCGAAGAACCUUACCUACCCUUGACAUCGUGCG